rnacentral:rRNA from 1 species
UGAGCAAUCUGCCCUUCACUUCGGGAUAACUCCGGGAAACCGGUGCUAAUACCGAAUACGACCACCUCAGGCAUCUGAUGGUGGUGGAAAGUUCCGGCGGUGAAGGAUGAGCUCGCGGCCUAUCAGCUUGUUGGUGGGGUAAUGGCCCACCAAGGCAACGACGAGUAGCCGGCCUGAGAGGGUGACCGGCCACACGUGGGACUGAGACACGGCCCAGACUCCGUACGGGA